GAUGAACGCUGGCGGCGUGCCUAAUACAUGCGAGUCGAGCGAACGGACGAGAGGCUUGCUUCUCUGAUGUUAGCGGCGGACGGGUGAGUAACACGUGGAUAACCUACCUAUAAGACUGGGAUAACUUCGGGAAACCGGAGCUAAUACCGGAUAAUAUUUUGAACCGCAUGGUUCAAAAGUGAAAGACGGUCUUGCUGUCACUUAUAGAUGGAUCCGCGCUGCAUUAGCUAGUUGGUAAGGUAACGGCUUACCAAGGCAACGAUGCAUAGCCGACCUGAGAGGGUGAUCGGCCACACUGGAACUGAGACACGGUCCAGACUCCUACGGGAGGCAGCAGUAGGGAAUCUUCCGCAAUGGGCGAAAGCCUGACGGAGCAACGCCGCGUGAGUGAUGAAGGUCUUCGGAUCGUAAAACUCUGUUAUUAGGGAAGAACAUAUGUGUAAGUAACUGUGCACAUCUUGACGGUACCUAAUCAGAAAGCCACGGCUAACUACGUG
rnacentral:rRNA from 1 species